CUCAUCGAACGACACAUCACUAAUUCCAGCAGCUCGACUCGACGGACGCCAUUUUGAGCCACACAAACAACACCCAAGAAGACGGAGGAAAUAAAUUCGUCUAUUAUCGAGUACUACUAUUAUUUAGAGGACUUUCUCAAGCCAGAUGAGACAGAGAAGAUUGCGCUCUUCCUGGCUGAGAGAGGUGAGUCUGGAGGAGAGAAUGGAGAACAGAAAGAGACACAGACGAGACUCGCACAGCAGCGAGAGAGAAAA